CGGAAGUGCCUUGUCGAUCGUGCCUGAUGUGGUCCUAGACAAACCCCAUCAUCGCAGUUCGCAAGGCACUUCUUCGUUUCUGGGUGAACCAUCCACCGGCAUCAAGCCGGUGGAUCCGG
rfam:Streptomyces bingchenggensis BCW-1, complete genome.